rnacentral:misc_RNA from 1 species
GCCAAGGAAUUUCAAAUUUUUGAUCCUGAGAGUUACAACAUACUAGUCAAAAUAUUUUGUGAGGUUGCUGAUGUUACUAAAUUGAUGGAGCUGCAAGAUAGGAUGCUGAAAGUGGGAUUUGCACCAAAUAGUCUAACUUUCAAGCACAUGAUCCAUGGCUUAUGGAAAAACUGUGGAAUUGCACAAAGGCAAACUUCUUGUUGAAUGAGAUAUUUUAGGGGAAAUCCAAAGAAUCUAUCACAUGUUCUAGCUGUGGUGCAUGCUCACUCCUUAAGAUAUGAUUAGCUUUCGUUGUUUACUU